UUGUGCGUGGAACAGCAGCUA
rnacentral:miRNA from 10 species